GACGAACGCUGGCGGCGUGCUUAACACAUGCAAGUCGAACGGAAAGGCCCUGCUUUUGUGGGGUGCUCGAGUGGCGAACGGGUGAGUAACACGUGAGUAACCUGCCCUUGACUUUGGGAUAACUUCAGGAAACUGGGGCUAAUACCGGAUAGGAGCUCCUGCUGCAUGGUGGGGGUUGGAAAGUUUCGGCGGUUGGGGAUGGACUCGCGGCUUAUCAGCUUGUUGGUGGGGUAGUGGCUUACCAAGGCUUUGACGGGUAGCCGGCCUGAGAGGGUGACCGGCAAAAUUGGGACUGAGAUACGGCCCAGACUCCUACGGGAGGCAGCAGUGGGGAAUAUUGCACGAUGGGCGGAAGCCUGAUGCAGCAACGCCGCGUGCGGGAUGACGGCCUUCGGGUUGUAAACCGUUUUCGCCUGUGACGAAGCGUGAGUGACGGUAAUGGGUAAAGAAGCACCGGCUAACUACGUG
rnacentral:rRNA from 1 species